CAAGUCGAACGCGAAAGCUCCCUUCGGGGGGCAAGUAGAGUGGCGCACGGGUGAGUAACACGUAGGUAAUCUACCUUUGGAUUGGGAAUAACAACCGGAAACGGUUGCUAAUACCGAAUAAUGCAGCGGCACCUAAUGGUGACAGUUGUUAAAGCGGGGGAUCGCAAGACCUCGCGUCUAAAGAGGAGCCUGCGGCGGAUUAGCUAGUUGGUAAGGUAACGGCUUACCAAGGCGAUGAUCCGUAGCCGGCCUGAGAGGGCGGUCGGCCACACUGACACUGACAUACGGGUCAGACUCCUACGGGAGGCAGCAGUCGGGAAUUUUGGGCAAUGGGCGAAAGCCUGACCCAGCAACGCCGCGUGAAGGAUGAAAUCCCUCGGGAUGUAAACUUCGCAAGAACGGGAAGAAUAAGUGAGAGUUAAUAUCUUUCACGAUGACGGUACUGUUUGUAAGCUCCGGCUAACUCCGUGCCAGCAGCCGCGGUAAUACGGGGGGAGCAAGCGUUGUUCGGAUUUACUGGGCGUAAAGGGCGCGUAGGCGGCCACCGCAAGUCGACUGUGAAAUCUCCGGGCUUAACCCGGAAAGGUCAGCCGAUACUGCGGGGCUAGAGUGCAGAAGGGGCAACUGGAAUUCUCGGUGUAGCGGUGAAAUGCGUAGAUAUCGAGAGGAACACCUGCGGCGAAGGCGGGUUGCUGGGCUGACACUGACGCUGAUGCGCGAAAGCUAGGGGAGCGAACGGGAUUAGAUACCCCGGUAGUCCUAGCCUUAAACGAUGAAUGCUUGGUGUCUGGGGUUUUAUAGUCCCCGGGUGCCGUCGCUAACGCUUUAAGCAUUCCGCCUGGGGAGUACGGUCGCAAGACUGAAACUCAAAGGAAUUGACGGGGACCCGCACAAGCGG
rnacentral:rRNA from 1 species